rnacentral:rRNA from 1 species
AGGGAUGACGGCCUUCGGGUUGUAAACCUCUUUUAACAGGGAAGAAGCGAGAGUGACGGUACCUGCAGAAGAAGCUCCGGCUAACUACGUGCCAGCAGCCGCGGUAAUACGUAGGGCGCGAGCGUUGUCCGGAAUUAUUGGGCGUAAAGAGCUCGUAGGCGGCUUGUCACGUCGGAUGUGAAAGCCCGGGGCUUAACCCCGGGUCUGCAUUCGAUACGGGCAGGCUAGAGUUCGGYAGGGGAGAUCGGAAUUCCUGGUGUAGCGGUGAAAUGCGCAGAUAUCAGGAGGAACACCGGUGGCGAAGGCGGAUCUCUGGGYCGAUACUGACGCUGAGGAGCGAAAGCGUGGGGAGCGAACAGGAUUAGAUACCCUGGUAGUCCACGCCGUAAACGUUGGGAACUAGGUGUGGGCGACUUUCCACGUCAUCCGUGCCGCAGCUAACGCAUUAAGUUCCCCGCCUGGGGAGUACGGCCGCAAGGCUAAAACUCAGAUGAUUUGACGGGGG